rnacentral:rRNA from 1 species
GACGUGAGAGCGUGGCCCCCCACACUGGCACUGAGAUACGGGCCAGACUCCGGCGGGAGGCAGCAGUCGGGGAUAUUGCGCAAUGGACGAAAGUCAGACGCAGCGACGCCGCGUGGGCGAAGAAGGCCUUCGGGUUGUAAAGCCCUUUUCUGGGGGAAGAGAUAAGGACGGUACCCCAGGAAUAAGUGUCGGCUAACUACGUGCCAGCAGCCGCGGUAAAACGUAGGACACAAGCGUUAUCCGGAUUUACUGGGCGUAAAGAGCGUUGAGGCGGUUCCGUAAGUUGGACGUGAAAGCCCUCGGCUCAACUGAGGGAUGUCGUUCAAUACUGCGGGACUUGAGGGCAGCAGAGGGAGGUGGAAUUCCUAGUGCAGCGGUGAAAUGCGUAGAUAUUAGGAGGAACACCAGUGGCGAAGGCGACCUCCUGGGCUGCUCCUGACGCUGAAGGCGAAGGCUAGGGUAGCAAACGGGAUUAGAAACCCCGGUAGUCCUAGCAGUAAACGAUGGAUGCUGGGUGUGGGAGGUAUAGAUUCCUCCCGUGCCGAAGCUAACGCGUUAAGCAUCCCGCCUGAGGAUUACGGCCGCAAGGCUAAAACUCAAACGAAUUGACGGGGACCCGCACAAGCAGCGGAGCGUGUGGUUUAAUUCGAUGCUACACGAAGAACCUUACCUGGGUUUGACAUGCAAGUAGUAGUGAAGCGAAAGCUGAUCGACCCUUCGGGGAGCUUGCACAGGUGCUGCAUGGCUGUCGUCAGCUCGUGCCGUGAGGUGUCGGGUUAAGUCCCGUAACGAGCGCAACCAUUGUCCUUAGUUACAAGUGUCUAAGGAGACUGCCCGGGACAACUGGGAGGAAGCUGGGGAUGACGUCAAGUCAGCAUGGCCUUUAUGUCCAGGGCUACACACACGCUACAAUGGCCGGUACAAUGGGUCGCCAAACAGUAAGGUGGAGCCAAUCCCGUAAAGCCGGUCCAAGUUUGGAUUGUGGGCUGCAACUCGCCCACAUGAAGCUGGAGUUGCUAGUAACCGUGGGUCAGCUAUACUACGCUGAAUACGUUCCCGGGUCUGUACACACCGCCCGUCACGUCAUGGAAGCUGGAACACCUAAA